GCUCAACCGAGGAAGUGCUUCGAAAACUGGUAAACUUGAGUGCAGAAGAGGAAAGUGGAACUCCAUGUGUAGCGGUGGAAUGCGUAGAUAUAUGGAAGAACACCAGUGGCGAAGGCGGCUUUCUGGUCUGUAACUGACGCUGAGAUUCGAAAGCAUGGGUAGCAAACAGGAUUAGAUACCCUGGUAGUCCAUGCCGUAAACGAUGAGUGCUAAGUGUUGGAGGGUUUCCGCCCUUCAGUGCUGCAGCUAACGCAUUAAGCACUCCGCCUGGGGAGUACGACCGCAAGGUUGAAACUCAAAGGAAUUGACGGGGGCCCGCACAAGCGGUGGAGCAUGUGGUUUAAUUCGAAGCAACGCGAAGAACCUUACCAGGUCUUGACAUACCAUGAAAAGCUUAGAGAUAAGUCUUUCCCUUCGGGGACAUGGAUACAGGUGGUGCAUGGUUGUCGUCAGCUCGUGUCGUGAGAUGUUGGGUUAAGUCCCGCAACGAGCGCAACCCUUAUUAUCAGUUGCCAGCAUUCAGUUGGGCACUCUGGUGAGACUGCCGGUGACAAACCGGAGGAAGGUGGGGACGACGUCAAAUCAUCAUGCCCUUUAUGACCUGGGCUACACACGUGCUACAAUGGUCGGUACAACG
rnacentral:rRNA from 1 species